UAUCCCUCAUCAUCAUCAUCUUCUUCUUCUUCCCUCUCUAAAAAAAAACCCUACCACCUAAUCUACCUGCCACCGUCACCUCCUUUAACCUCCACCGCCACUUUGACAAAUUAAACCCACCACCAAUGGUUCCAGGAGCUUCUUUCUUCCUCUCUCUGUCUAUAAUGAUACUUUGCUCGAAAUUUCAUCCCAUUUUUAUAGUUGAUAUCAUCGAUUAAGGGUUCUAGCUGCGAUGUACAGAAGUCUGGUUUCAGCGUCCCAAAGACAUUGUACGGAAACUGCUUUCAGGGGAUCUAGACCUUGGUAUUGUCGACCUUCACACGUUUAGCGAAUAUGGACAUGUAACACAAUAGUAAAUGAUCUUUGACACAAAAUUGAAUGACAGUAAAGAAUGAACAGUUAGACACGAACAGGAACAGGUGAAAGUGGUGGGGUCGUCGUCGCCGGAAAUGCUUCCAUAGGUGGUGGGUUUAAUUUCUGAAAGUGGCGGUGGAGGUUGAAGGAGGUGAUGGUGGCAGGUAGAUUAGGUGGUAGGGUUUUUUUAGAGAGGGAAGAAGACGAUGAUGAUGGGGUAGGCCUUUGUUUUAAGUUUUUAAAUUGUUCAAGGGUAAUAUAGUCAUUUCACACAUAGUUAACUAAGAAAUUUAACAAAGGUUAGGUCAGGGGACCA